rnacentral:rRNA from 1 species
GAUGAACGCUGGCGGCGUGCCUAAUACAUGCAAGUCAAGCGAACGGACGAGAAGCUUGCUUCUCUGAUGUUAGCGGCGGACGGGUGAGUAAUACGUGGAUAACCUACCUAUAAGACUGGGAUAACUUCGGGAAACCGGAGCUAAUACCGGAUGAUAUUUUGAACCGCAUGGUUCAAAAGUGAAAGACGGUCUUGCUGUCACUUAUAGAUGGAUCCGCGCUGCAUUAGCUAGUUGGUAAGGUAACGGCUUACCAAGGCAACGAUGCAUAGCCGACCUGAGAGGGUGAUCGGCCACACUGGAACUGAGACACGGUCCAGACUCCUACGGGAGGCAGCAGUAGGGAAUCUUCCGCAAUGGGCGAAAGCCUGACGGAGCAACGCCGCGUGAGUGAUGAAGGUCUUCGGAUCGUAAAACUCUGUUAUUAGGGAAGAACAUAUGUGUAAGUAACUGUGCACAUCUUGACGGUACCUAAUCAGAAAGCCACGGCUAACUACGUG